AAUAGAUACCCUGGUAGUCCACGCCGUAAACGAUGAGUGCUAAGUGUUAGGGGGUUUCCGCCCCUUAGUGCUGCAGCUAACGCAUUAAGCACUCCGCCUGGGGAGUACGGUCGCAAGACUGAAACUCAAAGGAAUUGACGGGGGCCCGCACAAGCGGUGGAGCAUGUGGUUUAAUUCGAAGCAACGCGAAGAACCUUACCAGGUCUUGACAUCCCACUGACCGCUAUGGAGACAUAGUUUUCCCUUCGGGGACAGUGGUGACAGGUGGUGCAUGGUUGUCGUCAGCUCGUGUCGUGAGAUGUUGGGUUAAGUCCCGUAACGAGCGCAACCCUUGAUCUUAGUUGCCAUCAUUUAGUUGGGCACUCUAAGGUGACUGCCGGUGACAAACCGGAGGAAGGUGGGGAUGACGUCAAAUCAUCAUGCCCCUUAUGACCUGGGCUACACACGUGCUACAAUGGACGGUACAAACGGUUGCCAACCCGCGAGGGGAGCUAAUCCGAUAAAACCGUUCUCAGUUCGGAUUGUAGGCUGCAACUCGCCUAC
rnacentral:rRNA from 1 species